rnacentral:pre_miRNA from 1 species
UAAACUCAAAUUUGUAUGCAGUUGGAACAGCGCCCCUAGCGGCAAACGUUGCAACUCCAUACAAAUUUCAGUUA